UACGGGGGAGCAAGCGUUGUUCGGAUUUACUGGGCGUAAAGGGCGCGUAGGCGGCGUAACAAGUCACUUGUGAAAUCUCCGGGCUUAACUCGGAGCGGUCAAGUGAUACUGUUGUGCUAGAGUGCGGAAGGGGCUACUGGAAUUCUCGGUGUAGCGGUGAAAUGCGUAGAUAUCGAGAGGAACACCUGCGGCGAAGGCGGUAGCUGGGCCGACACUGACGCUGAAGCGCGAAAGCUAGGGGAGCGAACGGG
rnacentral:rRNA from 1 species